rnacentral:rRNA from 1 species
GAGCCCAGCACCGAAGCCUGUGGCCAUUUGGUUACUAGGCAAUGUGGUGUUUAGGUCGUUCCGCAGAGACACUGCUCCUCUCUAAGUCCAUCAAUGAGUACGGUAGUACUGACAUGGCCCAUGGAGGGUGAAAGGCCCGUAAGAGAGGAGGUUUGGUAUGACAGUGUCUCUCUGGUUUGACCUUGGAGUCGGGUUGUUUGGGAAUGCAGCCCUAAGCGGGUGGUAAACUCCAUCCAAGGCUAAAUACAAGCACGAGUCCGAUAGCGAACAAGUACCGUGAGGGAAAGUUGAAAAGUACUUUGAAGAGAGAGUAAACAGUGCGUGAAACCGCUUAGAGGUAAACGGGUGGAGUUGAACUGUAAUCUCUGAGAAUUCAGCUGGCGAAUUUUGCUUGAGCUUGGACAAAUGGGCAGGGCCCCGGGGUAUGCUUAGGUGCAUGUUCUGACUUUCGGGUUGGGAUGCGCGUUGCUCUUAUCAAGGGUUGCGCGCCCCGGGUGUCCGGCUAGCUCUGUCACCAGUGCACUUUCUCAGGGUGAUCACCACGACCGGCGUGCUGCUUGGCUGUUCUAGUUAAACCGAACGUUCAUCGUCCUUGUGGCGUUGGGCGGUCGACACGGCAGGAAACUGGGAGCUUGCUUCGGCUUGCUUUCCGGUGUUUGUCGGCUUUUACGGUUCUAUGCGGUGUGUCGGAGACGGCGGCUAGUAGUGUGUGCGUGCGUAUCUAUCUGUUGGCAUAUUCUGGUUUGGUGGCUGUGUGCUUGUUCAAGCAGGCCCAGUUAUGGCCGGGGUAUGUCAGUGGGUGGUUGCGUGUGUGGCACUUUUCUGGGCCAACAGUCUGUGGUGUUGUGGUAGACUAUCCACCUGACCCGUCUUGAAACACGGACCAAGGAGAGUAACAUGUGCGCGAGUCAUUGGGCGUAACGAAACCCACAGGCGUAGUGAAAGUAAAAGUCUGGCUUGUCCAGUCUAAGGUGAGAUCCUGUCGUUGUUCAUGCGUGGUAUCACCAAGCUUGGAGCGAUAGGCGCAUCACCGGCCCGUCCCAUGACGUGGUCACAGUCUUCGGAUUGUGCGCCGUGGGGGCGGAGCAUGAGCGUACAUGUUGAGACCCGAAAGAUGGUGAACUAUGCUUGCGCAGGUUGAAGCCAGAGGAAACUCUGGUGGAGGACCGCAGCGAUUCUGACGUGCAAAUCGAUCGUCAAACGUGAGUAUAGGGGCGAAAGACUAAUCGAACCAUCUAGUAGCUGGUUCCCUCCGAAGUUUCCCUCAGGAUAGCUGAG